rnacentral:misc_RNA from 1 species
CACCUGGUAUACAGAGAAGAAGGAAAGAUAGGCACACGUAACGCUGCGCAACCAAAUUACACGGGCUACACUAUAUGGCCACAGGCACAGUCAAGUGGUUCAACGACGCUAAGGGUUUCGGAUUCAUUACGCCCGACGAAGGAGGUGAGGAUCUUUUCGCCCACUUCUCGGCCAUUAACGUUCAGGGCUUCAAGACACUCAAGGAGGGACAGAAGGUGUCAUUCGACGUUA